rnacentral:ribozyme from 1 species
UGCCUGGAGCAUGGUCCAGUUAUGGGCACAAAGUGAAGAAAAAAAAAAAAAAAAAAAAAAAAAAA